AAAAGUUAUAUUAUGUUUUAAACCGGGGCAGAAUUUUGAGGAGGGUCCUCAAAAAUUCCAUCAAGCGACAUUUCAAGACCAGACAAGCUUGUAAUCCAGAAGGCAAAGGAGCAUUAGGAUAGCAAGGCAAAGCCAACAUGAAUCAGUCUCUCAAAACUAAGAAUUUUUCUUUGAAUGCAGGAACUACAAAGUUACAAGGCAUCAUUGGACCCACAAUGGCCUCGUCAUAGCUCAAAUGAUUUCUAC
rnacentral:lncRNA from 1 species